AACGAACGCUGGCGGCAUGCCUAACACAUGCCAGUCGAACGAGACCUUCGGGUCUAGUGGCGCACGGGUGCGUAACGCGUGGGAACCUGCCCUUAGGUUCGGAAUAACUCCCCGAAAGGGGUGCUAAUACCGGAUAAUGUCUUCGGACCAAAGAUUUAUCGCCUUUGGAUGGGCCCGCGUUGGAUUAGCUAGUUGAUAGGGUAAAAGCCUACCAAGGCGACGAUCCAUAGCUGGUCUGAGAGGAUGAUCAGCCACACUGGGACUGAGACACGGCCCAGACUCCUACGGGAGGCAGCAGUGGGGAAUAUUGGACAAUGGGCGAAAGCCUGAUCCAGCAAUGCCGCGUGAGUGAUGAAGGCCUUAGGGUUGUAAAGCUCUUUUACCCGGGAUGAUAAUGACAGUACCGGGAGAAUAAGCUCCGGCUAACUCCGUG
rnacentral:rRNA from 1 species